UGGUGGAGUGAUUUGUCUGCUUAAUUGCGAUAACGAACGUGAUCUCUGCCAAUAAAUAGAUGCUGUUUCCGCGUUUGUAGGCCCGCAGCUGAAGCGUGCUUGCACAAUUCAGACCUGUGUGUGCUGAGGAAGCAGAAAUUUACUUAUUGGGAUUAUGCAUCCUUUCAAUGCAUUGAAACUAGAGCCAAUAGCA
rnacentral:rRNA from 1 species